GUCCAGGGUAGCCUAGUGGUCAUGGCAUCUGCUCGGUAAGCGGAAGGUCGUGGAUUCGAUUCCCAUCCCUUGACA
rnacentral:tRNA from 1 species